rnacentral:rRNA from 1 species
GUGUCAGCAGCCGCGGUAAUACGUAGGGUGCGAGCGUUAAUCGGAAUUACUGGGCGUAAAGCGUGCGCAGGCGGUUUUAUAAGCCAGAUGUGAAAGCCCCGGGCUCAACCUGGGAAUGGCAUUUGGGACUGUAAGGCUGGAGUAUGGCAGAGGAGACUAGAAUUCCUGGUGUAGCAGUGAAAUGCGUAGAUAUCAGGAGGAAUACCGAUGGCGAAGGCAGGUCUCUGGGCCAAUACUGACGCUCAUGCACGAAAGCGUGGGGAGCAAACAGGAUUAGAUACCCUAGUAGUCC